rnacentral:rRNA from 1 species
CGCUGUGACUUGCCGGCGACUGCGGUGAAUCUGUGGGUGCGGGCGUUGGCUGGUAGGUGUUUGCGGAAAGUGCUCGAUUGCGUGUUUGCGCGUCGUGAGUUAAAUCCACUUGCUCAAGUGGUUGCGUUCCUUCGAAACGGGUAGACUGGAGGUAUGCAGGGGAGAACGGAAUUCCUGGUGUAGCGGUGAAAUGCGCAGAUAUCAGGAGGAACACCGGUGGCGAAUGCGGUUCUCUGGGCAUGUCCUGACGCUGAGGAGCGAAAGUGUGGGGAGCGAACAGGAUUAGAUACCCCAGUAGUC